GACGAACGCUGGCGGCGUGCUUAACACAUGCAAGUCGAGCGGUAAGGCCUUUCGGGGUACACGAGCGGCGAACGGGUGAGUAACACGUGGGUGAUCUGCCCUGCACUCCGGGAUAAGCCUGGGAAACUGGGUCUAAUACCGGAUAUGACCUCCUAUCGCAUGGUGGGUGGUGGAAAGAUUUAUCGGUGCAGGAUGGGCCCGCGGCCUAUCAGCUUGUUGGUGGGGUAAUGGCCUACCAAGGCGACGACGGGUAGCCGACCUGAGAGGGUGACCGGCCACACUGGGACUGAGACACGGCCCAGACUCCUACGGGAGGCAGCAGUGGGGAAUAUUGCACAAUGGGCGAAAGCCUGAUGCAGCGACGCCGCGUGAGGGAUGACGGCCUUCGGGUUGUAAACCUCUUUCAGCAGGGACGAAGCGCAAGUGACGGUACCUGCAGAAGAAGCACCGGCUAACUACGUG
rnacentral:rRNA from 1 species